rnacentral:rRNA from 1 species
GACGAACGCUGGCGGCGUGCCUAAUACAUGCAAGUAGAACGCUGAAGGAGGAGCUUGCUUCUCUGGAUGAGUUGCGAACGGGUGAGUAACGCGUAGGUAACCUGCCUGGUAGCGGGGGAUAACUAUUGGAAACGAUAGCUAAUACCGCAUAAUAGUAGAUGUUGCAUGACAUUUGCUUAAAAGGUGCAAUUGCAUCACUACCAGAUGGACCUGCGUUGUAUUAGCUAGUUGGUGGGGUAACGGCUCACCAAGGCGACGAUACAUAGCCGACCUGAGAGGGUGAUCGGCCACACUGGGACUGAGACACGGCCCAGACUCCUACGGGAGGCAGCAGUAGGGAAUCUUCGGCAAUGGACGGAAGUCUGACCGAGCAACGCCGCGUGAGUGAAGAAGGUUUUCGGAUCGUAAAGCUCUGUUGUAAGAGAAGAACGAGUUUGAGAGUGGAAAGUUCACACUGUGACGGUAUCUUACCAGAAAGGGACGGCUAACUACGUG